rnacentral:lncRNA from 1 species
GUCUUGGUCAAAGUCAUCUUUGCAAGCAUCUCCACGUCCAUCACCAUCAGAAUCCGCUUGAUCUGGGUUGGCAACCAAUCUGCAGUUAUCUUUGUCAUCAGGAAUACCAUCAUUGUCAUCAUCAUGGUCACAGGCAUCACCUUUUCCAUCCUUGUCAUGAUCAGCUUGAUUGGCAUUGGGCACAUAAGGGCAAUUAUCAAGAUUAUUUUGAUGACCAUCUUCAUCUAUAUCCUGGUUGUUAUCACAUUCAUCACCUAUAAGGUCAGAGUCAGUAUCUUCCUAAAAAAAAAAUAAAAGGAAAAAUAAAGAACAUUUUAA